rnacentral:tRNA from 1 species
AUUUAUCUAAUAUUAUAAGUAUAUUUGACUUCCAAUCAAAAAGUCUGAAAAAGAUUCAGGAUAAAUA